AACCAGGACUAAACCAGGACUGAACCAGGACUAAACCAGGACUGAACCAGGACUGAACCAGGACUAAACCAGAACUGAACCAGGACUAAACCAGGACUGAACCAGGACUAAACCAGGACUGAACCAGGACUAAACCAGGACUGAACCAGGACUAAACCAGAACUGAACCAGGACUAAACCAGGACUAAACCAGGACUAAACCAGGACUAAACCAGGACUGAACCAGGACUAAACCAGGACUAAACCAGGACUAAACCAGGACUAAACCAGGACUAGACCAGGACUAAACCAGGACUAAACCAGGACUAAACCAGGUCUAAACCAGGACUAAACCAGGUCUGAACCAGGUCUGAACCAGGACUAAACCAGGACUAAACCAGGACUAAACCAGGUCUGAACCAGGACUAAACCAGGUCUGAACCAGGUCUGAACCAGGACUAAACCAGGACUAAACCAGGUCUGAACCAGGUCUGAACCAGGACUAAACCAGGACUAAACCAGGACUGAACCAG
ensembl:lncRNA